CACGUAGGGUGCGAGCGUUGUCCGGAAUUAUUGGGCGUAAAGAGCUCGUAGGCGGUGUGUCGCGUCGGCCGUGAAAACCUGCAGCUUAACUGUGGGCUUGCGGUCGAUACGGGCAUCACUGGAGUUCGGCAGGGGAGACUGGAAUUCCUGGUGUAGCGGUGAAAUGCGCAGAUAUCAGGAGGAAUACCGAUGGCGAAGGCAGGUCUCUGGGCUAUAACUGACGCUCAUGCACGAAAGCGUGGGGAGCAAACAGG
rnacentral:rRNA from 1 species